rnacentral:lncRNA from 1 species
AUGCACGUCAUACCCACACACAUCCCAUACGCACAUCACACACACCACACAUCCCACAGACACAUCCCACCCCCCAUACACGUCACAAACACAUCACACCUCUCACACACACUCAUAUCCACACACAUCCCAUACACACAUCCCGCACACACGUCUCACACACAUCCCAUACACACAUCACACAAACACACGUCCCACGCAAGUCAUAUCCACACACACACCACACCCCCACACAUCCCAUACACAUGUCCAACACACACACAUUUCCCCCCCACAUCACACAGACACAACCCACACACACAUCCCACACACAUCACUCACCCCCACACACGUCACACACACACAAGUCCCCCCAUCCCACACACACACAUUCCACACACGUCCCACACACACAUUCCCCCCCACAUCACAUGCAGACACAACCCACACAGACACAUCCCCCACAUGUCCCCCCACACACAUCCCCCAACACGUCUCUCUCACACACACACACACGUCCCACACACACACACGUUGACACCCCCCACACACACGUCCCCCCCCCACACCACCCCCCACACCCCCUCCACACACACACAUUCACACAUACAUCCCACACCCACGUCCCACACACACACCCACGUCCCCCCCCACACACCCCACACAUAUUCCACACACACACGUAUUCCACACCCACGUCCCACACGCGCGCACACAUCCCACAUGCACGCGCACACACACACACACACCUCCCUCACACACACCCAUCCCACACACCCGUCCCACACGCACACACACACAUCCCACAGACACGUCCCACACACACACACGUCCCACAGACACGACCCACACACACCUCUCACACACACACACCCCCCACACUCCCCCACCCACACACAGCCAGAUGUCCCACACACACACACACGUCCCACAUGCACACACACACAUAUCACACAGCCAGACGUGUCCCCUCCACACACACACAUCCCACCUGCACACACGUCACACAGCCAGACACCCCCCCAUACGCACACGCAUUCCACACACACGUUCCACACACAUCACACCCCACACACACACUCACCUCCACAGUGGUUCCUUCUCUCCUGGGAAGGAUCCAGUGCUGGCAGUUGGGGAGGAGUUCCAGGGUCCAGUCUUUAUUUCACCUCCCAAAUAGUCUUAUUUCACACACACACCCCAAAUUGUCUUUAUUUCACCCCCCCAAAUAGUCUUUAUUUCACACACAUACCCCAAAUAGUCUUUAUUUUACCCUCCUAA